AAAUAAGAAGUAAAAAUUACAUUUAGUUUCGACCUAAAAUUAUGAUAUCAUUAAUAUCCUUAUUUA
rnacentral:tRNA from 1 species